rnacentral:rRNA from 1 species
UACCAGCUCUCCGAGUGGUAGGGAUGAUUAUUGGGCUUAAAGCGUCCGUAGCCGGCUUAGCAAGUCCCCUGUUAAAUUCAGCGACCUAAUCGUUGAGCCGCGGGAGAUACUACUAGGCUAGGAGGCGGGAGAGGUCGACGGUACUUCUGGGGUAGGGGUGAAAUCCUAUAAUCCCGGGAGGACCACCAGUGGCGAAGGCUGUCGACUAGAACGCGCUCGACGGUGAGGGACGAAAGCUGGGGGAGCGAACCGGAUUAGAUACCCGGGUAGUCCCAGCUGUAAACGAUGCGGGCUAGGUGUUGGGGUGGCUACGUGCCUCUUCAGUGCCGCAGGGAAGCCAUUAAGCCCGCCGCCUGGGGAGUACGGCCGCAAGGCUGAAACUUAAAGGAAUUGGCGGGGGAGCGACCACAAGGCGUGAAGCUUGCGGUUC